rnacentral:piRNA from 1 species
UGCUAUGUUGUGAAAACAGGCCUGG